GGGCUGGCUGGGUGACCCAACAUGAAGAAAAAGAAGAAAUCGUCCAUCAGUACUUCUCCUCCAUGAUGCACAGAGCUCCAAGAAGACAAAGUGAUUUUAAUUGGGAGUCGAUCAAUUUCAGCCAGUGUGAUCUUUCUGGUCUAGGUGAUGCCUUCACCGAGUCGGAGGUUCUUGCCACUAUCUCACUCAUGCCUGGUGAUAAGGCGCCAGGGCCAGAUGGCUUCACUAGAGCUUUCUUCAAAUCAUGUUGGGAGACUAUUAAACCAGAAAUUAUGGCGGUGAUCCACCUUUUCUCAAAUCUGCACACCGAGAAUUUUCAGUGGUUAAACUCGGUGAAUAUUGUGCUGCUCCCGAAGAAAGAUGGUGCGGAGCAGAUCUCCGAUUUUAGGUCGAUAAGCCUCAUUCAUGCCAAUGCAAAACUUGUGGCCAAGAUGAUGGCAUCCAGGCUUGCGCCUCAUAUGAACAAGCUUAUCUCCCGGUCGCAAAGCACCUUCAUCGAAACGAGAAGUAUUCACGAUAACUUCAUGUACGUCCACGACCUCGCACGGAAGAUGCAGCGCACCAGAACUCCCACUCUUCUCUUUAAGCUUGACAUCAAAAGAGCUUUUGACUUGGUCCGAUGGGAUUAUCUUCUCGACCUGCUUCAGCGGCGUGGCUUUCCUCAUCGUUUCCGAGACAUGCUCAUUGCCCUUUUUCGCACCUCAUCCUCUCGGGUGCUGCUAAAUGGCGUGCCUGGGAAGCCCAUCUGGCAUGGCCGGGGUCUUCGGCAGGGUGACCCCCUUUCUCCACUCCUCUUUGUGCUUCCGAUCGACCCGCUUCAACAGAUUCUUGACCUUGCCACGAGUCGGGGCUACCUCCAUAGGCUGCGUGGGCGCGGUGCCUGUUUUCGAGCCUCUCUCUUCGUGGAUGAUGCUGCAGUUUUUGUGGCACCUAUAAAGGAGGAUAUCGAGCACCUCACACGCAUUCUUGAAGGUUUUGGUGAGUUCACAGGUUUGGCAACAAAUCUGGACAAGAGCACUGUGGCUCCCAUUAGAUGCGGCGAUAUUGAUCUCCAGGCUGUCCUUCAUAGUUUCCCGGCUGUGCGUAUGACCUUUCCAAUGAGAUAUCUUGGCCUGCCGCUCUCCAUCCGUCGCCUCAGGAGGAUUGACUUCAUGCAUCUUGAGGAUAAGAUUGCAAGCAAACUUGUCACUUGGCAAGGAAAAAAUAUCACAGCGGCGGACCAUGCCACUUUGGUCAAAUCGGUCAUCACCUCUCAAGCAAUUUAUCAUCUCACCCCGCUGAUUCUUCCCCAAGGUGUCAAGACAAGCAUAGACAAAAUUAGAAGAGCUUUCCUAUGGUCAGGGACAGAUAAAGUGUCUAGAGGCAAAUGUAAAGUAAAUUGGAAGAUGGUGUGCAGGCCAAGGGUUUUGGGGGGCCUUGGGAUCCUUUGUGGAAAAAUUAGGUAUUUUCGAUGAAUAUUUAAUCCAGAAAAUCAUGGCUAAAAACAUGUAACAUAUUAUGUCAUGCAAACUAGACAAACUAAACAGCAACGCAAAGCGAUAAAACUCGUCUAAUUCCACAGCAUGCAUAAUAUAACUAUUGAAUAAAAUCAACAAGAAAAAGCAGAUUACGUACGGUAAGGUGCCCUUCAACAAGAAAAAGCAGAUUACGUAUGGUAAGGUGCCCUUCUCCUGAGUUGGUUCCUUGUUGAUGAAUUUGUUGAAGUCGGUGACAAGUCCAGCGGUGUUGAUGUUCACGCCGGCUACAGCAGCCGACCUGGCAACCUCCUGGGCAGCUGCGAGCGCCUGUGCUUGCAUCUGGACAGCAGCAGUCGCCCGUUGUUCGAUCUGCUGCUGUGCUUGGAGUUGAGCAACCUGCUGCUGCUGAGCUUGAGCGGCAGCCUGAGCCUGAGUGGCAGCCUAAGCCGCAGGAUCACCGUUGUUGACCAUGGUGACGAAGAAGCUGACGAGGAAGGGAUGUGAUGAAGUGAGCAGUCGCGUAAGAACGCUCCCCAAAAACCUUAUCGACCGUCUCCCGGGCAGGAUCUUGAAGGUCGGGGUUCCGGAGGCCUGCUCUCCCGACGAGCUGUGCACGCAGCCGGCGGGAUGGAGUAGCAGAAGACAGCGAACAGCGAGAUUGGAUCAUGGGUGCAACGACGGAUUUUUGGCAUAUUCGUUCUGAGGCCGGGAACGUCUUAUUAUAUAGGCACGCAUGCGGACGUCGGUUUAGGAAACCUUCACUUUAGGAAACCAACCGACGUUGAUUUAGAAAACCUUCAGCUUAGGAAACCAACCGACGUUGAUUUAGGAAACCUUCGGUUUAGGAAACCAAAGUCGACUCUGCAAUUAUCGGGAUUUGUUACGCGUCCGCAACAUAUUCCAACUGCCAAAAGAAUAAGCAACAAUCCGGACCGACCGACUCGAUGAAUGGGCUUUUGAGAUUUUCCAGGAAUUUAAUUUAGUUUAGGCGUUUGCCUUAUCCUAAAUUCCAACAUCCUUGACCUGGAAAAAUUCUCGAGGGCCUUACGCCUUCGUUGGUCUUGGCUUGAAUGGAAAGAUCCAGACCGGGCUUGGGAUGGAACGGGAAACCCAUGCAAUGUUGCAGACAUGGACAUGUUCUAUGCCGCGACAAAAAUAACUGUCGGUGAUGGUUGCACGGCAAAAUUUUGGCAUGCUUCUUGGUUGGAUGGACAGAAGCCUAAAGACAUCGCUCCUUUAAUUUUUGGGAUCUCCAAGAAGAGGGGCGGAACCAUUAGCAAUGCUCUUCAUGACCAGAACUGGAUCUCACAGAUUGACAUUUCCCAAGGUCUCACUGUGCAACAUAUUCAUGAAUUUAUCUCCCUUGGAACUGCACUCGCCCAUAUUUAGCUUACUGAGGGAUCCCCGGAUGGCAUCGCUUGGAAAUUCUCAAAUUCCGGCGCCUACACUGCGGCAUCAGCUUACCGGAUCCAAUUCGAGGGGCUCACACGGACUCAAAUGAAGCCGGUGGUUUGGAAUAAUUGGGCGCCUCUGAAGUGCAAAUUUUUCGCGUGGCUCAUUAUCAACAAUAGGGUGUGGACAGCGGAUCGCCUUGAAAAAAGAGGUUGGCCCAACUGUGGGCUAUGCUCGUUGUGCAAAAGAGAGCCUGAGUCCGCCGCUCACAUGCUAUUUCAUUGUAGAUUCUCGACCCGUAUUUGGAACAUGAUCAAAGAUUGGAUGGGGUUGACGGAGAUCGAGCCAGCGACUUGGGUGCAUAUGCGGUCGGUUGAGCAGUGUUGGACAAGCAUCAUCCUUGCCCAUGGCCAUUGGAAGAAGGCCAUCACAUCGCUGGCCAUGCUCGCCGCUUGGGAGCUUUGGAAAGAAAGAAACGCGAGAGUUUUCCAAAAUGUGGCAACCAUGCCAACGAUUAUCAUGGACAAAAUCAAAAUUGAGGCAACAAUUGGGCGAGUGCGGGUGCUCAUCAUUUGGGUAGCGUAAUGCCCGGAGAUUAGACUCUUGUGAUAGUGUUGCCACUUUACGGCUUUGUAAAUACAAAUUUCUGUAAAACUUCCCCUUAAUUAAUGAGAUGAGGCAAAGCUUUUGCCUCCGUUUCAAAAAAAACAGUUGUAGUAAACCAUAAUGUUUAUACACAACACAUACGCUUUUGAUAAACAUGCACUGAAUAUACAAUAAAGUAGAAUUGGCAUCAGACUGCAUGGGCAAAAUAACCUAGCCAUCUUAUAGUAAUCGGUGCAUCAAAUUUUCUUCCGUAUGGUUUAGGCUUCUUUUGAAAUGCUCUAGCUCCCUGGAAUGAACAAAGAAGAGAUCAUAACUGAUUUCAUGUUUUAUCAACUAAGCAAAAGCUGAAUUAUGCAAGCUGGAGAUUCUUACUAAGCAAGUUGUAUCCUCUUAACACUGGAGAUUCUUACUAAGCAAGCUGUUUCUACCAAACAUAUGCUGAAUUAUUCGUGGGGCAUUGGGGAGAUAUCCAGUGCUCCCAACGCAUAAAUUAGAGAAUGCACAAAAAAAAUUAGAGAAAGUCUAAUUUAUCAAAAAAAAUAGAGAAAGUCUAAUUUGUCUUCCUGGUGAACAUUGCAUAAAUUAGGGAAUGCACAAAAAAAUUAUGGACAUUCACAUACUUAUAGCAACUUAAGUUAGACCCAGCAAAUCAAUCAAUGUUAAGCUGACCACUGCAAUAUUAAAAUGAAAUCAGAGAUACUUGGCUAUUGUUAUCAAAUAGAGAAGUUAUAGUGCUUGAAAAUUCAUAUUACUCCCUCCAGGUCCAAAACAAGUGAAUCUUUAACCAUCACCGUCAGUCACGAAUCACCAUCACCAGGAUGAAACGAAGGAACAACAAGCAGUAGAGUAGAUUCGAGGGCCACAAUUAAAAGCAAUUCAGUUUAUACUCGUGAAGGGGGGGGGGGGGGGAGACUGAUCCGGCCGGAUGGAAACGCGAGAGCGACAUGAGAAGGUGGCGUCCGCCGUGGUUCCUCCUCCGCGCUGGGAGGUUUGAUUCUCGAUCCUUGCGCGACGCGAGGGGGGUAUGCUCUACGAGGGGUUUCUCCUACUCUUUCAAUCUGACAGAUUGGUUCUGUUGGAUGUUGAUGGUUCGGCCAUUGAUGCUAGGGUUCGGAGGGAUGGUGAGGUCUUCGAUGUUGGUCGCCAUGUUGCUUUUCCUAGCCAUCUUGCGAGGAUUACUAGAUGUGUUCAUUCGGAGGAGAACUUCCUUGCAACAAUUGCAACGGCACGGCCACCGAGGGUACGCCCUUGUUCUGCCAUUGUUGUUGAUUCGGCGGCGAUGGUGCUCCAUCCCUCCUCCUUAGGGGAACCGGGUCUGCAGGCCGGGUCGCCCUCCGUGCCCCCUUGUUCUGUGGUUCGGGUGGAGGCUAAUUCCCGUCUGGCUGCAGAGGAUUCCUUGGAUCCGCCAUUGCUGACGUCAAUGUCUCCUGUCGAGGUGGCAAACUCUGGAUUGAUGGUCAAGACGUGUGCUAUUGUUCGGGUUGGUGGCCCGGUCCAGGUUUUUUCUCCUGGCUGAUUGGGGGGUUGGGCUUGCAGUUGCUACUGUGCAGCCCACUAGCCUGGUAGGUUCCCUGGGAUAUAUACUUGGUCCAUUCCACAGGAUGCUCCCAAUCCGUCAUUCUCGAGGGCUAGUGGCGGCGGCUAACCCUAGAUCCUGUGGUGUUGUGUUUGUGCCAUCUCCUUCUCCACCGAGUGAUUCAGGUCCUCUUCCUUGUGAUUUGGCGACUCGGGUGGGGAUUCCUACUGAUUCUCGGUUCUUUGCUUAAGUGGCGGAUGGUCUUGGUAUGGAUCGGGAUAGAUUCCGUGUGGGGUAAGACAGGCAGUCUCCACCACGGAACAGUUCCGUGUCUCGAGGUGGCGGGAUGGGGGGGCGUGGUCGGGACUCGGGGUCCGGCGCCUCCUCGUCGCCCGGAAGAUUGGAGAUCUAAUCCUUCACUCGUUGCUAGAGAGGAGCGACUUCGGGAAGAGGAUCGGCUUCGGGCUGCUUGGCGUGCGGAAGAGCACCGUCUGGCGGAUUUACGUUGGGCGGAGGAGAAGCGGGUUCAAUUGGAGUGAACUCGGAGGCGGAUCUACGUCGGGCUGAAGAGAUUCGUCGCUUGGAGGAGCGGCGCCUGGAGAAACUCCGUCUUGAGGAGGAACUCCGGUCGCGAACGCUGGGGGAUUCCCAGGAGGGGAAUCCUGGUCUGGAACGGGACCGUUGGAGCCAUCGACGAGAGAUGCGAGAUCGAGCUCUCUCAUCUACGCCAUCUUUGUCCUCGGCUCUCCCUGCUGGCGGUUCCGCUAUGGCGGCAAGUACCUCCUCUGCGAAUGUGGUGCCUACUGGUCCAAGGUAUGACAACACUACAUCUCAGAACCUUGUUGCUGGUUUGGAUGGAUCUGAGGCGAUUACUGUUGUUUCCGGGGAGGAGGUUGGCCAUGUCACGACCCCCAUCCCUCUGAGAUGCGGUGGUUGUGACAAGGUAGGACAUACGGUUGAUGCUUGUUCUGAGAAAAAACCCUGGGAAUAUGUGGCGCCGUUCUUGGGGUGUGAGGCUUUUGGGCAGGGCUUUUUCUCUAUCCCUAUUGGUACUGCUCCUACUGAAUCUUGGGAGGACCUGUUCUUUGGUUUGGUGACUGUUAUUCAUGGUGCUGUUACUGGGAAAAACAUUGAAGCAGAGUUCAGAGGUUGGGUUGGGGAGGACUGCACUUGGCGCUUUUUUGCCAAGAGUGUAUCUGAGAAUCAAUAUCUCGUCCGCUUGCCCAUUGAGAAAUUGUUGUUAGAUCUCUGCUAUUUUCCUGAUCUAUACAUGCGCCAGGUAAUUGGGGCUUUGUUCAAGGUUGAGAAAUGGAGAGGGGAUAUUCAACCUAAAGUUGUCCUCACUGAAGCCUGGUUUAGAGUCAAAGGAAUCCCUGUGAGAUUCCGUACCAAAGAAAUAGUGUUUCAUGUUGCUAAUCUUGUUGGUAAAGCUAAGGGGUUGGACUUUGGUAGUUUGCGCAACUAUGCUUAUGUCAGAGUGUUGAUAGCUUGUCAGGAUGUCACCCUGGUUCCUGCUACUAGGGUUGGAGAGUUGGCUGAUGGGAUCUAUGAGUUUGAAUAUACUAGGGAGAUUGUGGAUCCUGUUUGUGGGAUUUGUAUUGCACCUAGCAUUUCUGUGCAUGAGGAUAGGGGACAGGAAGCUGACCAAUCUAGCAAAAGACAGAGAGUGGAAUAUGUUGAGGCUGCCAAUACUUCAUCCAAAGAUGGUGGAUCUGGACACAUUGGUACUUCUGGCAGUGGUUGUUCUUAUGUGGGGACUGGACAGUCUUGUACUUCCUUGGUCCCUUUUAAUUUCAGAAGGAAAGGCAAAGGUGCAGUGACUGCUGAUUUUCUGUUGUUGAGGAGGUGGAGGAAGAAGAGCUUGAUCUUGCAAAGGAGGUUAGUCAAUUGGGGUAUGGUGAACAUGGACAAUCUUCUGGUCAGGGGUCCCAAUCCCAACUGAAUGCUCUGGCUCUCUUUCCUUCUCAUGGUCAGAUACAGGAUCUGUCUGAAUUCCAGAGGAGAGUGGCACAGUCAUUUGCUUUACAGGGCCCUUUCAUGUUGAAACUUCUUGGAGAUGUGGUCCAAGCUGAUGACUCUGCUGAUGUCUUAUCUUUUCCUGAGUUUAUGGAACAAUUGCUGAAAUCUUCUAGUGACAAGAAAUACAUGUGGAGACAACAGUAUGCUCAGGUUUUGAAUGAACCUAUUGUCCAAUUCCCUGCUGAUAGUGCUGAUUCCACUGAAUUCACUGAUUAUCAGCAAAGCCAUGUGUCUUCUGAAGCUGGGGAGGAAGUUAAUAUGGUUGUUCUCAAGUUGGUCUUCUGUUGCUAUUGGGAUAGUUGAAACUGAGCAUUCUGUGGUUGUGGAAAGAGCUGAUGCUGGGGGGAGUUGACUGGUAUUAUACCUGAGGAUUCACAACCUGACAUUCCUUUAUCCCAAGAAGUGGUUGAUGAUGGUUUCCUAGAGGUCCACACUGCUCUUGAUGCGGGAAUUCUUGCACCACCCUUUGUCAGGCAAAGUUCUAGGCUCCAAGCUCAACUAAAUCCUAUUAAUUAUGUUCCAUCCAGAAGGGAUACUGCAGGUACUAAUCUCAAUCUCUUUAAUUCCUUUGCACUUCUUGAUGAUAAUGAUGUGAUUGUUAAAGCUUUAGAAGUUGGUAUUGAUGUUAAUUCCUUUAAUCUGGAGAAGGUUCAUAUUAUUAAAGAUUUAGAAAUUGCUAGACAUAAACUUGACUUAUAGGCUCCUGUUGAGGAGCAGGAUGGGGAUUUAAUUGAUGAGGGAAAGGUUUUACUGUUAGAUUGGAAAAAUGAACUAGAGGAUGAUGAUGAAGAUUUUACACCUGUGCUUUCUAAGAAAACAAAGAAGAAAGUUAAAUCUGCUAGCAAAAAGAAGAAAGUUCUAGCUAGUAGGAGUUCUGUAGGGUUGUCCUCUGACAGCUCUAUUGGACCUCUCCACCCUUUGUGUGGAGAAGUACCUGCUACUAGGACUCGCAGGAAAAACAAAACAUAUCUAUGAUAGGUCUUUUUUGGAAUUGUAGGGGUGUGGGAAAAAAAGGGUUUAUGUGCUUACCAUGGAGAGCUUCUUAUAUUCAAGAAACUAUGAAGAGUUCUUUUUCUGAUGCUUUCUUUAGGGGAAUUGAUCCUUGGAAUCAAUUCUCUUGGAACUGGUUACCUUCUAAAGGGAGAUCUGGAGGAAUUCUUGGUGGUGUUAGAACUGACAGAAUUGAGAUCCUUCAGUGGUUUCAAGGGGUUUUUUCCAUAAAGCUCAAGGUGAAAGAUAAGAAAAGUCUCUUAGACUUUUUUAUUAUUUGUGUGUAUGGUCCUGCUCAGGAGGAGGGUAAAGAAUGUUUUUUACAGGAAUUAGUUGGUUUGUGUUGUGAUCAGUCUCUUCCUGUGCUUAUUGGUGGUGACUUUAAUAUUUUGAUAUUUGCAUCUGACAAAAACAAGGACCUGAGGAAAUCUAAAUGGGUGGAUUUGUUUAACUCAGUGAUUGCUACUCAUGCAAUGAAGGAUGUAACUCUCACCGGGGAUGCUUCCCCUGGUCCAAUGGGCAGGUCAAUCCUACUCUGGAAAAAGUUGAUAGAAUUCUGAUGAGUCAGGACUGGGAGUCUGUUUUCCCACUUACUUCUGUUAGGAAACUGGUUAGAAAGGCAUCUGAUCAUAAUCCUUUGCUUUGGGACACUGGUGAAAAGAGAGAGAAAAAGAUUAAAAAGUUUAGAUAUGAUGCUAGCUGGAGUAAAACUGAAGGUUUUCAUGAUAGGGUCAGAUCUAUCUGGCAGGUUCCUGUAGUGGCCAAAAAUGGUUUAGGAGUUGUGCAGGAAAAAUUGAAGAAGGUGGCUAAAUCUUUGAAGGGAUGGGGAAUUAAUGUAAGGGAGGAUUGUAUUCGUCUCAAAAAAGAUCUCUCCAACGAAUUUCAAACACUGGAACUGUUAGAAGAACUCCAGCCACUAUCCUCUGAACAACUGGCCAGGAGAGGACACAUUCAAUGUGAGCUUAUGGAAAUAUAUGCAGGGGAGGAAACUUACUGGCAUCAGAAGGGGAGUGAAAAUUGGCUUCUAAAAGGGGAUAAUAAUACUGUUUAUUUUCAUAGAAUAGCUAAUGGGAGACGUAGGAAAAGUCUGAUUUAUUCCCUCACUUCUACUGAUGGUAUUAUUGAAGGUGAUCAGAAACUACUAGAGCAUGCUACUAAUUACUAUAAGGCUCUGUUUGGGCCUGCCGAGGGUUUUGGGUGUAGACUUAAUGACCACAUGUGGUCAGAGGAUGAAAAACUCACUGACCUAGAAAAUGAUGCACUUGACCAACCUUUUUCUGAAGAGGAAGUUAAAUCCAGUAUUGACAAUAUGAAACAAAAUAAAGCUGCUGGGGUUGAUGGGUUUCCUAUUGAAUUCUUUCAAUCUUGUUGGGAUGUUAUUAAACAUGAUGACAUGUCUGCUUUUAUUGAUUUUCAUAAGGGGGGGCUAGCACUCAGUAGAGUUAAUUUUGGUAUAAUUACUUUGCUCCCUAAAGGAAAAGAUUCUGAUUGUAUCCAAAAAUAUAGACCUAUUUGCUUGCUUAGGGUGCCUUUUAAGAUCUUUACCAAGGGGAUGGUUACCAGGUUAGGCCCUUUGAUGCCUGAACUGAUAACUCCUUGCCAAACUGCUUUCAUUAAAGGCAGAAAUAUCAUGGAUGGUGUACUAUCCUUACAAGAAAUUCUGAGAGAAUCCAAAUUCACAAAAACUAAAGGUGUGGUUUGAAAAUUGAUUUUGAAAAGGCCUAUGACAAGGUGAACUGGCAAUUCUUGAUGCACUGUAUCCAAAUGAAAAAAUUUAGUCCUUUGUGGCAAAAUUGGUUUAGAUCUGUUAUUGAAGGUUGUACUUUGUUAAACUCAAUGAUUUAAUGGGGAAGAAUUUUGGAAGUUUUAAAGGGGUUAGACAGGGGGAUCCUUUGUCUCCUUUCCUGUUUAACCUAGCUGCUGAAUGCUUAGCUAAAAUGGUUCAUGCUGCUCAGCACAAUGGCUCUAUCAUUGGUUUGGUGCCUCACUUAGUACCUAAUGGGCUUGCAAUUAUGCAGUAUGCUGAUGACACUAUUCUGAUGUUGAAUGAUACUAUGGAAAUGGCUAGACACCUUAAAUUGAUUUUAUACCUCUUUGAACUUAUGUCUGGUCUCAAAAUCAACUUUCUGAAGAGUGAGGUUACUAUGAUCCUGGAUGAUGACUCUAAGGCCCAUUUAUAUGCUGAUUUGUUUAAUUGUCAGAUUGGGUACUGGCCUAUGAAGUACUUUGGAAUGCAUGUGGGUCCUGAUAGAAUUAUUGUCAAGGAUUGGAAUAUCCUGAGUGAUAAAAUGCAAAAAAGAUUUGAUGGUUGGAAGGGGGGGGGGGGUGUGAUGUCUAUUGGGGGUAGGGUCACUUUACUUAAUGCAUGUUUGACAAGUAGUCCUACAUAUCACAUGUCUAUGCAUGUGCUUCCUAAAACUGUACUUGGCAAGCUUGAUAAGAUUAGAAGGAGGUUUUUGUGGCAGGGUGGAUCUAUGAAAAGAAAAUAUCACUUAGUUCAGUGGAAACUUGUGUGCACUCCUAAAUCUAAAGUGGGUUUGGGUGUGAAGAACUUACUUCGUUUUAAUUUUACUCUCAUGGGGAAGUGGUGGUGGAAAUUAGAAAGUGAGAAAGGAAUUUGGAAGGAUUUAAUUCACCAGAAAUAUUUGAGAGGGGGUGGGGUGUUUCAGGCAAGCAGAAGGCCAGGUGCUUUUGCUUGCUGGUCUGACCUACUGCACUUAAAAGACAUUAAUUUACAAGGACGUUGCAUUAUCAUUGGUGAUGGGAGAACUACUGAUUUCUGGGGUGAUGCUUGGUGUGGACACACUUUGCCAAUUAUUCCCUGGUUUGUUUGCUAUAUCCAAUAAUAUAGGAUGUUCUGUUAGGACAUUAUAUGAUACUAGCUGGAGGUUGACCUUUAGACGUUGGUUAGACCUUGUUUUGCAAGAAGAAAUGAGAGGUUUGAGAGAUAUCCUUACAGGUAUAGCUUUGAAUGAAGAAAGGGAUAGACCUAAAUGGAAAUGGACUAAAUCUGGAACUUUCACUGUGAAAUCUAUGUAUGAGCAUCUUUCCGGUGGGGGGAGAGACCUUUCGUUUCGUCACCUUUGGAAAGCCAAAAUUCCCUUAAAACUUAAAAUCUGGAUGUGGCUCAUCUGGCAUAAUGCCAUUGCCACUAAAGACAACAUGCUUCGCAGGAACUGGAUAGGGGACAGUAAAUGUAGGUUUUGUGAUGAGCUUGAGACCAUCCAUCACUUGUUUUUUGGUUGUGCUACUGCUAAGUAUGUCUGGGGGGUGGUUAGUUUAACAAUAGGGGCUGAUACAAGGCCGUUUUCCCAAUACUUCUGGUGGAUAUCUAAAUACCUACCUAUCUCGAGAAAUUUACAGAUCAUGGGGGUGGCGGCUAUCUGUUGGGCCAUAUGGAAGAUUCGCAAUAAAGAUUGCUUUGAAAAGAAACUCAUUCGAUCUCUUGCUGAGAUUGUUUAUUAUGCUUGUGCUUUUCUCCGGUACUGGGCUGGGUUACAAAAUGAGUCUGAACGUCAUAACCUGUUAGCAGGUGCAGGUGCAUUACAGGCGGAGGCGCUGAGGCAUCACGAAGGCCAAGCUCGAGUGGACAAGAGGAAGUUGAAGGAACAUGCUGAUAGUGCUGGGGGAGACAAGAAACAGAAGAUGGAUGACGAGGUAGUCUGAUGUUCUGAUCAUGAAGAUUGUGGUGCAACGGCAAAGGAGAUGCAAGACCUUUUGGGCAGGAUCCUGGCCCUGUGUGCCAGCUUUAUCUCAAACUAUGUAUGGUUUAAACUUGCUGUUUCUACUCCAGGAACCGAUUACGGUCUUGUUGAUGUGUGUUCUUGUUAGCUUUCGGGCGACAAGUAUGUGAAAACUAUGUGUGGGGUGAACAAUGUUUGUUCCGUUAUCUGUUGAUAGUGGAAUACGAUCAUAUGAUCGUUUUAAAAAAAAAUAUUACUCCCUCCAAUCCUCCUUCAGCAAUUAUUGGACAAAGGUGGCAAAGCGAAUGUCAGCAUUUAGUGUACGAACUGGCGGAUUGUCUGUCGGUAAACACAAUGUCUAUCGGCAUAGAUUUUAGAGGACGGCCAUCUUCCCAACAGACACGGCCGACAGCUUGUCUGUCGGCAUAAGCUCUUGCCGACAGACAUAGUGCCAGCAGAGACCACCUUUGCCAACAGACGUGUGUGCCGGCUAUCAAGGGGCGUGGUGUAGUGAUGCCGGCAGGCGUCGUCCUUGACGCCGUGCUCCAACGAAGUCUGGCAAGCAACCCGGCAUAGCCAUUCCUCCUCUUCCUCGUUAGUCUCGAGCACCCGAAAGCCGGAUGCAGGAGGGACUGACACCGCUGCAUGAGGGCCGGCACCGCCUCCUCAAUCUCCAUCGCCUCCACCUCCGGCGCCGCUGCUUCGUCCUUGAUCUUGGGCACCUGGAGCGAGUCGUCGCUGCCGCCACGCAUCGAGGCUAGUCGAGUGCGCCGGCCGCCAACUCCCCGGCCGGCAGGCAAAGCUCCCCAGCCAGGAUGAUUGCCUCUACCCGACGCGCAUGUUCGUCGAGAACGCAGAGGGAGGAGGCGCCGGCGGAUCCAUGUCAUCAGCGAACCCUAGAUUUGGGAGCGAGUGGGGUGUGUGGGGAUGGGGAAAUGGGGUAGACGCAGUCCCCAUUAAAAAGGACCAGGGGUGGGUUGUUAGGUCGGUGACAGGUUGUGCCAAGAAGACGAAAGGGUUUGACUGGGUCUCACCUAGCUGGACUAGCGGACCGAUCGAAGGUCCGUUUUUCCAUCUGUGGGGACACAAACCCAGCUCAGAUUUGGGGCCUAAAUGCGUCUCCACAGACCAAAAAGCGGAUGCCGGAACAAAUGUGUCCCCGCGUUGGAGGCGCAUUUGAUCCGUUCAGGCCAAAACAGACUGGUCCGGCCCAUUUGCGUCGUCCCAAUGGAGUUGUCCUAAGAAACUGUAGAUACCACAAUCUUAUUGAGCCUAAAUCAAGACAUCCGAGAUCAUUUUUCCGCAAGAACUUCAGCAAUAUGGUUCCAAUUAUCUUGAAACUGAAUAACCUUUUACUCGCAAAAAAAAAAACAGAAACUGAAUAACCUUCGUAUCUUCUUCUAACUGGGAGUUCCCGCUUACGAGGUGAUUCUCAUUUUUGGAUGGUUUGAUUUCUACAUUUUAUUAUGGAAAUAAAGCAGUUAGCCUGUCAUCUCUUCGUCAUCAAAUACUACCAUUCAACGAUUCUUGAGCCGAGCCAGCACUGGGCCUUCAAGCUUGGACAGUAGUUUUUCAAACAAGAGAUACAUUUUUGGAGACUUAACUUUUCAACAUCUCUUCUCUACACGAUAAUUGGGCUCUUCUUAGAUACUGAUAGCACAACCUUGCACACCGUUUGUACCAGAAUUUUCUCUGCUACCACCUCUGAGAGGAGCUGCAGUGUUUAUCGAAUAGUUGAGGGCCCUGAAAGCAGAAUGCACACAAUGCAAUUAUGUCCACUAUAUGAACGCAGAUGAAUUUAGUUACGCACCCAAAGAAUAAUAAUCCUUCUUUACAGCAUUCAGUCUAAGUGGAGGCUAAUUUAUUUGAAGUAAAGCACACUAGUUCAGUGCUUUGUUGGCAAUAACUGCACUACAUCAGAAACUUAUUUCAUCAGAUCUUGUAGUCCUGCUCCAGUAGACCUGUAGAAGUCGAUUGUCCAAAUACUUCUUUCAUCCAUUCACAUCACACACAUAGUGUCAAUAAAUGAAAAAAAGGCAUACAUCUUCUACAUAAUCAGGUUGUCAGCUAAUUGAGAAAGUAAUAUGGGAUAAGACUGAACUCAUGAUACGAGGUUUCUCUUCUAGUGUGUGAAGUCACUAAAUCAGUGUGAUUCCAUCCAGUUUUCACAAAGACAAAUGGCAAAUGGAUGUUCACAUGAACUUCUAGUCACUGAUCUGAGUUCCAUAGAUUUAGAUAAAAACUGAAGUAGAUUACUAGGAGAGUAGGUUACUGCGGAAGCAAGACAAAACCCUUGAGCGCUACCACAGCAGAAAACCGCAGUUAAACACUACUAAAUGCUCAAGCGUCACCUCUGGUAGCCCAUGAAUUAGUUCGCUUAACAAAGUUUUCUCCUUCUGGUAUUUUGGCUUGAUGAACCACCUAAUGGUCUUGUGAAGUCCCUCCUUGAGGAUGUAACUGUCUUUAACAUGCAAUACAGGAGGCCUUUACUGCAAAAAAAAAAUCUUUUCAUGAAGGACAAGUAUUAGUGUAUUACAGAACAUAUAAGGUGCAAGGCAGUUACUUGGCGUUUUGAUAAUUCACGGUCUUCCCUCCGCUCCUGGUUUAGCUAAUCCGACAGUGUCUCCAUCUACCUGGCCCUAUCAACAUCCAGCGCCUCAAGGCUGAACCGAAAAGAAGGCUACGUUUAUCUCACCUGCACAAUCUACACAUGUACACAAAAGCUAGCAGCCAAAGCCCAAGGGCUUAUUAUUGAGUUCACUGAGCAUAACAGUUUUGGAAGGGAACAGCAGAAGUUAGACGCAAGAAGGUCGCAUGCAGAAGAAGAAAACAUCAUGCAGAUACAACUCCCAUGCAGAUACACCGCCCUUCUAGGGCUCACAAGAACCCGGGCUCCUCAGCCCCUCCUGCGCUUGCUCGUCGUUCCCAUCUGCAGGGAUAUGUACCUCAACACCUCUUUCAUCGUUGCCUUCCGUGCUUUCUUGAAGUUCCACAGCUCCGGCACCGCAUACCUUCCACUCGGGUUGUAUUCGUUUACUUCACUCAGAGCGGUCUUCACUGCGUUGCACACGUCAUCACCGUACUCAAUCCACAAUUCAUGCAGUCUUGGGUCAUCCUCAUCUAAAACUUCCUGCAGUAUCAAGGGAUUAUUGUGAUUACUCGAACACAAAAGGGAAAAAUCACAAAGUUGAAUGUAGAUCAAGUCGGUAGAACCUUGUGUUCUCCAUUCUCAUCCUUAACAAUCUUAUAAGGGUGCCAGGCUGGCUUCUUUAUUUCCUCCUGCCAACUUGACACCAGUUGUGCAGCUCUCAUCUCAUAAUCAUCAUUUCCAAACUUCUUCCUGCACGCAUUCUGAAAAGGCCUUUCAUCAAGUUCUCCCAUCCUUUUGACCCCAAUAGCUGUAUGCCCACUUAGCAUGUCCUCCAAACCCUGGGCGUUGCAAGAAAAAAUAUUUCAUGAGUGGAAGCAUAUUCAUCAACUAUUCAAGAACAGAUUAGGUGCAAGGCAAUUUCUAAACACCCUAAAGAGAAAGGAGCAGUACCGCUAUCAGUUCUUUCCGAGCCUCCUGUAACUCAUCGUUACUUUCACGCUCUUUCCUCACCAGCUCCCCGCUCAGCUCUUCCAGGCGUUUCUUUUCUUGCUCUAGCCUUUCAUUAAGCUUCUCCAUCUUGUUAUGAAUAUCCCCGUCAUCAUCCUCUUCCAAAUGUUUCAUCACUUGGAGCGUGCCACUCAAUCGUGUUACUUCGAGCUCAAGUUCCUGUUUCUCAUGCAGUUCCUUUUCCAGCUCAAGCAUCCUUGCAAGGGCAUCCUCCUUUUCCCUCUGUUGUUUUCAAGAUUAGUUCUCAUCUCGAGUCCAGAGUACUCGAAAUAAUACAAGUAAAAAGGGUAGCAAACCUUCUGGUCCUCGACUAGCUUCAAAAUAUCUUCAUCAUUCUUCUGCUGUUCUAUGCUUGCCAGCUCGAGUUCACUCUUAUCGUCUUUCGCCUGUGUAUUUUCAGAAAGGAGACUCAAGCUAGAAAUGUAUCUAAAACUAUGUUUCAUUAUGCACUUGUGCCAUCACAUCAUAUGGUCCAAGUUUGGAAGUGUCAAUUGUCAAAUACCUAAUUCGCAACUGUAUCUUUAGGGGAAUCUAGAAACUUAUUGGGCACAACUCCUUGUGCUAUAAAAAUAAGCGAGCUACUAAUUAAGCAGCCUAAAAAGCACAAAUUUAGAAGAAGUAGUAGUGGAUAUGAUGUCAAAAGAAUUUAUCGUUAUUUUAUAUAUCCUUCUAAAUGCUUGGUGCAAGUUUAGAAUGUAAAACAGCAGGUAAUAAUCUUAAUUUCAUAUUUAAAUUAACCAAUCCAAAAUAUAAAAUAGAAGUUCAUAUCCUGAAAAUUCAGAUUAGUGAAUCAUUUUGAUGUUAGCCACUCAAAAAAAAAAACAGCACAUGUCCUGAAAAUUCACAAUAGUAUACUGUACGCAUAAUAUUUUAGCAGACAGUAUGUUAGCGUAACUUAGUGCCUCAUGUACAUAGUUCGUUAACUUACCUUUUGUUUCUCAUCAGCAAGUUCAGCAAGUUUUUUCCUGUCAUUGGCAUUUUCGGCUGUCAACUUUUCCAGUUGCUUAGCAUGUGAACUCAGUUUUCUCUUGCUGUCUUCUAUUUCAAGCUUCAAGUUUUCAUUAUCCUGGAAAACCCUCACGGCAUUGUCGCGAGCCUUGCGAUGCAGGUUACGCAUUUCUGAAGGGGGAAAUAUAUAAGUUAUUACAACGCUGCAGAUUGGUGCGCAGCAGAGCCACUGCGUUAAUGAUUUUGAAACAGCAAGAAAAUAAAACUGAGCAAUAACAAUUUAACAAUUGGGACAAUGUGCUUGUAUCGAUAACCAACAGAUAUCUCGUGAGGUAAGUCUUAGUGCUAAAUGACAGAUCAAGAGAAAUCCUGGCCCUUCACUCCUGCUACUUAUCUAACCAACAAAGAGCACUCUUUCUCCAAAUACUGCAUGCCAUAUGUGGGUAGAAACCAUCACUCAAGGCUCUUUAACUUAACAUUAAGAUGCAAACUAAAAUUACUGGUACAAGACAGAAAUACAAGGUGUGGAAUUGGUCCACUUGACAAAGGUUUACUUACAUCAGUAGACAUGUGACAAAUUGUUACACACUUACACGUACAGAAUGUGUUAACCACUUUUUUUUUUGGUGUUUGGUUGCUAAAGUGAUCUGGGGGGUCCUGGUUUCUGUUUUGUGUAUUGCUUACCACCUCACUUCCUUAUGGCAAAGCACUCGUUUAGUAUAACUCAUUUCUUCCAAACAGAGAAAUGUUCUAUAUGGUUGGUCUGCCUCCUAUCCUUUGGAUUAGUCGAAACAACGCUUGUUUUGAGUGUAAACUCAUUAAGGAGGUGUCACCUAAUGGUGCUUCGGUGUUCUGGUUUAUGCCUUUCUGUUUUGGGUUGUAAUUAUAAUGUGAUGCUAAUUAGUUUCCACCCUAUAGUUGAUGCCUUGAUGGUCAGGCAACUGUUGACAGCAGGUUUCAUAUUAGUACAUCAAACUUGCUCUCACCCUACCUCUCCUGUAACAUUGUAAGGCUGCAGUAUUUCCGUUGUAAAGUAUGGGAACGCCAUAACCUGGUUAGACAACAGCGUACCUUCAUUAUAUGCCUCAUGCAGCCUCCUAUUGUCCUCCUCAAGCCGUGCAAUGGAGAGUUCUGUUGCAUUCUUCUUUGUCUCCAGAUCCUGCAAAUCUUGGUUCUUUGCCUCGAGCUGAGUUGCCAGUGUUGCCACAAUCUUCCCCAUUGGCUCCCUCUGCCUCUUGGUAAUCUCAUCUAUGGUCAUCAGGCUGGUAUGCUUCCUUAAGUAUCUUCCCACCAAACCCCCAGCAGUGUAGUCCAUCUCUCGGGCAACCCAGCCAUAAACCUUAUUCUCACCAAUCCUGUCCUCCUCUCCCUUCACAGCCCCUCCGUGACUACUCCUUGUCUCCCAUUCUAUCUUCCCAAGCUUAUUCACGCUGAAAUGGUUCUCAAGUGCGAGAGCGUCGCUAAAUCCACUCCAACCAUUAGUAAACUGCACGAUUGCAAAGCUUUCCGUGCCUUCUGCCUCAUCGUAAACUAAAGGCACGAUAUCAUCCACACUAAACAUGGCCACUUUAUCUGCAAAGUCCUCUGGAUUAAACCCUGUACCGGCUGCAAGAAUCCCGCACCAUGGCCAACAAAAUUUCUCCUCCCCAUCCUGCGGUGGUCCCUCAGCUGCUGCCAAACUGGGUUCAGUGGCAUGACCAUUCGCAUCAGAUUUCCCAUUGUCAAUGGUAUCAGCAUUGGCAGUGGCACCUGGAAUACCAGUGAUACUGGCAAGCUCCUGCGCAAAGGAUGGAUCGGCGCGGACAAAGCGGGCAAAGGCGCGGUGGAAGGCACGCUCCUUGCCAUGGCGGCGGUGCUUGCUGGAGACGCCGAUGCCGUCUGCAUGCUGGAGGAGGUCCUUGAGCUUGUAGGCCUGCUUCUUCUUGCCGGGGCAGAAGGGGCAGCGGAAGGUGCCGUCCGGAUUGCGCACCCGGUGGUUGCCGGACUUGAGAAGGCCGUACGACUUAUCCUCGUAGUCGCUCUCUGCCUCUGAGUCGUCCUCGCCGUCCGACGAGUCUUCGUCCAUGGAUGCGGUGCCUGGGACGGUCACGCCGGCGGCUUCCGCAGCAGCCUCGGCCUCGGCCUCCUCGUAGGGAUCUAUGUAGUCGUCGAUGUAAAGAUCCAUUCUCGGAUCGGCGCUUCAACUGCGGAAUGACAAGACUUGAGAGAGGAAAUCACGAUUGUUGAUGGAGAUAUGACAGAAAUCAUCGAAAGUGGAACAAAGAGACUCACCUUUUCCACGAAAGCACCAAAGAUCCUGCUGGAACAAACCACUAAAUAAUUACCACUUCAUUUCCUACAUUCAUACAUCAGAAAAAAAAAGGAAUAGUAAAUGACACCAUUAGCUAAAGCCAGAAUAGGAACGCUAAAAAUACCAUACUCCGUAUUAAAAAAACAUGCAGAAACACCCAAUAUCCUGGUCAAACAAAUCACUGGAUAUUUACCACUUUGCUUCCUCAAAAAAUCCUUAUAAAUUAGCCAAAAAAAGGUUCUGCAUAAAUAAACACCAAAAACACUCAUCAACACCUUACACCUAGGAAUACAGAGAAGCCAUGUGCAUCACAUCCACACAUUAAUUCCAUACCAAAAGUCAGCACGGUCCAUCUAACCAAGCCAGGUAUCAAUAACACAGCCCAGUGCAUGAAACACGGAUCGACCAGGACUGCGGGCUUCCCCAGCAGCGCUAAAUCUAACGGGGAUAUUGGGCCACGAUCCCGGCCGGGACGGGUCACGGGCUUAACCGAACAUUCGUUUGAACCCAUCCCUGCAUUAAUCCAGAGAGAAUAUGGCAGAGAUUGUAGAUAUUUUUCCCCUCAAUCCCUUUCAAUCCCCAAUGUAGAGGGGGAUUGGAAGGGAGCCGAACAAGGAAGAGGAGGGGGCGAGAGGAAUCUGUGGUGCUCAGGCGAAGACAGAGGCGGGGCUCUGAGUGGGGGAUGGGAUGGCAAUCAGAGAGAGGUUGAGGAGAGAGGGGAGAUAGGGCGAGUCGCACGGAAGACGGUCGGAGUGGGAGGAGAUAGAUAGGGAGGAUGGGGCGACGGGGAUGCGGCCGAGGGGCUCCGGCGGCGGCGGAGCUCUGCACGGUAGAUGGGGCGCAUCGAGGAGAGGUUGGGGCCGAGAGGGGUAUAGGGCGAGGCGCACGGACAUCGGCCGGAGAUGGAGAAGAUGAGGAGAACGAUGGCCGGGAACACUCACCUGCGCGCGCGCCGCCGUCGACCGCCUGCUUCGAGCCUCCUCUUGCAGGGUGUGUACUGUGUAACUGUUCGAGGGAAGGGUUUAUGGGUAAGUAAGUGAGAAAAUGAACAAUUCCAGCAGUAUCUAAUGCAAGGCUAAUUCUUCUCUUGCGGAGGGUGACUGUUAGGCCUAGUGACUGUACUGAGGGGCAAGCGUUUAUAAGUAUAUGCAGAUCUAAAAUGAACCGUAUCUUUAAUUUAAUUUAAAUUUUGAUCAUAUUUAUUAAAAAAAAUCUAGCAACAUCUACUACUUUAAAUUAUUCUUAUUAAAUCUAUCUUGAUAUAUAAUUUUAUAGUGAUUUAUUUCAUAUUUUAGAUAUUGAUAUAUUGUUCAAUAAAUUAGGUCAAACUUCAAGAAAUUUGAUUUAAAACAAAAGAUGUAGUAUGUCCCAUAUAAAUGCAGCAGCCCAUUUCGUUUUUCCUCCGCACACAUUAGAUACGGCCUUAUAGGCUCAGAGCAUGUCCAACAGUACCUCCAAACAGGGCUCCUAAAUUUGCAAGUAGAGGCCGACUUCAUAAAUAGGGAUCCAAAAAUUGCAAAUAUCUCCGGCAGGACCCCCUGAAUCACAACCCUGUUUCAUUCACAUCUCAUAUUCCAAACCAAAUUCAUCCAAUUUCAACCUAAAUUCAUCCAAUUUCAACACAAUUUAGUCAAAUUCAACCUCUAUUCAUUAAACCUCAACACCCAUCAUCCAAUUUACCAAUUUGUACAUACAAUUUGAGGAGGAGGAGCAGGCAGCGGGCGCCGUCGCGGGGGGAGGAGCAGGAGGUGGUGGCGGGGGCCGUCGUAGGGGGAGGAAGAGGAGGAGGUCGGGGCGGCCGGCGCUCUCGCGGGAGGUGGCGGCGGGGGCCGUCGCAGGGGGAGGAGCAGGAGGUGGUGGCGGGGGGCGUCGUAGGGGGAGGAAGAGGAGGAGGUCGGGGCGGCCGGCGCUCUCGCGGGAGGUGGCGGCGGGCCGUCGCAGGGGGAGGAAGAGGAGAAGGUCGUGGCGGCCGGCGUUCUCGCGGGAGGUGGCAGCGUCAGUCGGCACCGGCGCGGGGGAGGCGGCGGCCAGCGAAGGGGAGGGUGAGGCUGCGGGGGUUGAGGGAGCGCGUGGCAGGGCUGGGGCGGCGCCGGCGACGGCGGGAGCUGUCGGCGCGGCGGAGAGGACGGCGCUCGACGGAGGGGCAGCGCGCGGCGGCGCCCGCGGCAGCGGUGGCAGGGGCCGGGCGAGGUUGAGGAGGACGGCCGCGGCGGAGGGGUGCGGUGUCGCAGGCGAGAGAGAAGCGCGUGGGAUGGAGGAAGAAGAGGAAUCUUCUGAAUAGGGGGUCCCCUGGUACGCCUGCGGGGACGGGGCUGGGAGGCAAUUUUGGGAGGCUCUCUACUUUUAGAGGCUUGUUUACG
rnacentral:lncRNA from 1 species